CUGGCUCAGGAUGAACGCUGGCGGCGUGCCUAACACAUGCAAGUCGAACGGGGUUAAGUGAAAUUUCGGAUGGAGCUUAACUUAGUGGCGGACGGGUGAGUAACGCGUGGAUAACCUGCCUCACACUGGGGGAUAGCAGCUGGAAACGGCUGGUAAUACCGCAUAAGACCACAGCACCGCAUGGUGCAGGGGUAAAAGAUUUAUCGGUGUGAGAUGGAUCCGCGUCUGAUUAGCCAGUUGGCGGGUAACGGCCCACCAAAGCGACGAUCAGUAGCCGGCCUGAGAGGGUGAACGGCCACAUUGGGACUGAGACACGGCCCAAACUCCUACGGGAGGCAGCAGUGGGGAAUAUUGCACAAUGGGCGCAAGCCUGAUGCAGCAACGCCCGCGUGAGUGAAGAAGUAUUUCGGUAUGUAAAGCUCUAUCGGCAGGGAAGAAAGGCCCUUAACAGGGAGAUGACGGUACCUGACUAAGAAGCCCCGGCUAACUACGUGCCAGCCGCAGC
rnacentral:rRNA from 1 species